rnacentral:rRNA from 1 species
AUGAACGCUAGCGACAGGCUUAACACAUGCAAGUCGAGGGGCAGCAUGAACUUAGCUUGCUAAGUUUGAUGGCGACCGGCGCACGGGUGAGUAACGCGUAUGCAACUUACCUAUCAGAGGAGAAUAGCUCAUCGAAAGAUGAAUUAAUGCUCCAUAAAACAGGGGUCCCGCAUGGGAAUAUUUGUUAAAGAUUCAUCGCUGAUAGAUAGGCAUGCGUUCCAUUAGGCAGUUGGCGGGGUAACGGCCCACCAAACCGACGAUGGAUAGGGGUUCUGAGAGGAAGGUCCCCCACAUUGGUACUGAGACACGGACCAAACUCCUACGGGAGGCAGCAGUGAGGAAUAUUGGUCAAUGGCCGAGAGGCUGAACCAGCCAAGUCGCGUGAAGGAAGAAGGAUCUAUGGUUUGUAAACUUCUUUUAUACGGGAAUAAAGUGUGGAACGUGUUCCAUUUUGUAUGUACCGUAUGAAUAAGCAUCGGCUAACUCCGUGCCAGCAGCCGCGGUAAUACGGAGGAUGCGAGCGUUAUCCGGAUUUAUUGGGUUUAAAGGGUGCGUAGGUGGUCUUUUAAGUCAGCGGUGAAAGUUUGUGGCUCAACCAUAAAAUUGCCAUUGAAACUGGGAGACUUGAGUAUGUUUGAGGUAGGCGGAAUGCGUGGUGUAGCGGUGAAAUGCAUAGAUAUCACGCAGAACUCCGAUUGCGAAGGCAGCUUGCCAAGCCAUAACUGACACUGAAGCACGAAAGCGUGGGUAUCAAACAGGAUUAGAUACCCUGGUAGUCCACGCAGUAAACGAUGAUUACUAGGAGUUUGCGAUAUAAUGUAAGCUCUACAGCGAAAGCGUUAAGUAAUCCACCUGGGGAGUACGCCGGCAACGGUGAAACUCAAAGGAAUUGACGGGGGCCCGCACAAGCGGAGGAACAUGUGGUUUAAUUCGAUGAUACGCGAGGAACCUUACCCGGGCUUAAAUUGCAAAGGAAUGAUCUGGAAACAGGUCAGUCUUCGGACCUUUGUGAAGGUGCUGCAUGGUUGUCGUCAGCUCGUGCCGUGAGGUGUCGGCUUAAGUGCCAUAACGAGCGCAACCCUUGCCGUUAGUUACUAACAAGUAAAGUUGAGGACUCUAGCGGGACUGCCAGCGUAAGCUGUGAGGAAGGCGGGGAUGACGUCAAAUCAGCACGGCCCUUACAUCCGGGGCGACACACGUGUUACAAUGGCGUGGACAAAGAGCAGCCACUUGGUGACAAGGAGCUAAUCUCCAAACCACGUCUCAGUUCGGAUCGGAGUCUGCAACUCGACUCCGUGAAGCUGGAUUCGCUAGUAAUCGCGCAUCAGCCAUGGCGCGGUGAAUACGUUCCCGGGCCUUGUACACACCGCCCGUCAAGCCAUGGGAGCCGGGGGUACCUGAAGUCCGUAACCGCGAGGAUCGGCCUAGGGUAAAACUGGUGACUGGGGCU